AGAGAAAUAGAAAGAAGAAAAAGCAGCAAAAGUUGGUCAACUUCUACAGUUUCCAGGACAGACAGACGAAAAUGGACCAUCUUGCACAGCUUCGGAAGAAAUUUGAGGAAGACAAGAAGAGGAUAACUCAAAUGAGAACAUCCAGAAAAUUCAAACCAUACUAAAGCAGUCGGCGAUUAUGGAGGAAAGUUUUGUGGAUUGAAGUUAUAUUAAAUUUUAUUUACUAA